rnacentral:lncRNA from 1 species
AAACCUCCUCGAAUUUUCCAAAGCCAUUCUUGCCUAAAAGACAUCGAACCCCUAGUUCUCUAUUCCUAAAAGUACUGUCCAAAAGAUUCGGAGAACUAGUCCCAAUAGCUCCAACGAUGGCGACAUCUCCUGCAAGGGCGCAAGGCCACAUCUCUGGCAAAGCUUCCUUUCGUUGAUGUUGGCCACAAACCCUAACCGAAGUCACUGAAUCCGGCAAAUAGAGAAGAUGCUGAGUCAAAAAAACACCCUUGCCACUUCUCUAAAACUUCCUCCUCACGCAUAGCAAUGGGAUCUGGUUAGAGCCGGACGAAUGGAGAAAAUUCAGUAGGAAUUGCUUCUUAGAUUGUCUAUGAACCUCGUCGCUUGGACUUAGGGUACCAAGGUAUUUUCUCUAUUGUUCAUUGUUAUUUUCUCUACGUCAUUUUUGACUUUGUAGAUCUUUGUAUCUUGUGCUUGGUGUUUAGAUUUUCCAUUGUCUAAGGUAUUUUGUGUUUCUUCGAUUAUUGAUAACCUUUGUUGGAAACUUUUUUUAAGUGAAAUCUUCAAUUUAUGAUAUAUAUAUGUGCUUUAUGAUUUGUUUGUUUUAUUCUUUUUGGUUGGAGGGCAGAGAUAUUGCGGAAUUAAAUGCUUAUGUUUCAUAUCUCGUACCAUUUUAUUCGAACAAUAUUUUUGAGUCUAAUGACAGAAUAUUGGGCAAGGACCUCAAUAGCAUAGCAUCAAGAACAAAUAUCAAAUUCAGUAAAUUAUUUUUUCUAAAGAGAACUAAUUGAAUAUAUGUCCUGUUUGUUUUUAUUUUUGCUAAAGAUUUACUUUUUAUCUUCAUUUCUCAUUCUUGUUGUUUCAGAUUCCCUUUAGUAGAAGAGGCACCUCAAGUAAUUUAUGGUACAAAAACACGAGAUGAUAUAGGAAUUGAUUUAAGUCAAGUAGACAAAAGACCCCUUAAAUAUCUCAAACUCUCAAACUUCUAAGCGUAAAGUAUCUGUUUACAUGCACAAGCAACUUUAUUGUUUAUUUAACUUUGUGUCGCAGUUAAGAUUGAAUUGUCAGUCAUACAUAUUUUGUAUAGGAAAAAGAUAAUAAGACUUCUAGAUUUCUAAUGGUAAAAUUGUCACUACCCGAAUUUUUCAUCAUCGGGAGUCGUGAUGGCGCCUAUUAAUAUGAGCUAGGCAAUCCAAUUAAUUGCACAAUUUACCUUUUUACCCAUUUUAUAUUCACUAACAAUUGUGAAGUAAUAAUAUUUAAACAGUGAAAUUUAACAUAAGCGGAAGAAAAAUAAUAAGCUAUCUGAAUAUGAACAUCUAAUACAACUGUUUCAGUCUCGAUUACCAACAACUGGUGUCACAGUUUCACAGACGGUCUAAGAACACUACAAAUAAAGGUCUAAAGAAAUAAAUACAACAGUGCCUCUGGAAAUUCAUGAAAGAAGCAGGAAUAGUAGACAGAAGGAGACGCUACGGCAUGCGGACGCCUGCAGGACUACCUCAGGUUGCCUGAUGAAGGUGGAUCAGCAAUUCCACCGUGGUUCGAAGCCUACAACACCGUGGUCUGCACAAAAGGAACACCGUGGUCUGCACAAAAGAGUGUAGAGUGUAGUAUCAGCACAAUCAAUCCCAUGUGCUGGUAAGUGCCUAGCCUAACCUCGGCGAAGUAGUGACGAGGUUAGGACCAGACUACCAUAUAAACUUGUGCAGUUAUAAAAUAUAUAACAAAAACAACAACAACAACAACAACAACAACAACAACAACAACAAUCCAGCAUAAUCCCACUUAGUGGGGUCUGGGGAGGGUAGUAUGUACGCAGACUUUACGCCUACCUUUGGGUAGAGAAGCUGCUUCCAAAUAGACCCCCGGCAUCCUUCCCUCCAAGAACUUCUCACCUUGCUCUUGAGGAGACUCGAACUCACAACGUCUCGGUUGGAAGUGGGGUUGCUUAAUUUGGUGGAGACAAAGUUCCCCAUUUACGAACUACUCAACUUUCCUAAAGCUAUGUUGUUUUCAACUUAGCACCAAUUAUGCUCAUUAUUAAAUUCUCUUUUGUAAAUGUUGUCCCUUAUCUUAAAAAAAAAUUGAGACGAUAUAAAGAAGAUUAGUACAGUUCUUGCGUAAGCACCAAAUCAAGAAGUGGUCCAAAUUGCAGACCUUACCUCUAUCCUAGGGUAGAGAGGUUGUUUCCAAAUAGACCCCCGGCAUGCUUCCCUCCAAGAACUUUCCACCUUGCUCUUGGGGAGACUCGAACUCACAACAUCUCGGUUGGAAGUGGGGGUUGCUUAUCAUCAGAGCAUCCAGAGAAUUAUCGGGAACCAAAUUUCAACUACUAACAAGGGUAAGUAAAACAAAGUUAGAUUUUAAUUUCAGUUCACACCUUGUUGCAGGCGUGCAACUCGACGCCAUUUCUCAUAUCUUGUGGCAGGCGUGCUACCUGCUCCCAAUUCAUUUAUCCCGUGGCAAGUGUGCCACCUGCUCAUGUAUGUCAUGGUAGGUAUACCACCCGCUCCCAUUUCAUGUAUCUUGUGGUAGGCGUACCACUCCCUCCUAUUUCAUUAAAUCUUGUGGUAGACGUACCACAUGCUCCCAUUUUAUUAAAUCUCAUGGUAGGUGUACCACCUGCUUCCAUUUUAUUAAAUCUUGUGGUAGGCGUAUCACCCGCUCCCAUUUCAUGAAAUCUUGUGGUAGGCGUACCACCCGCUCCCAUUUCAUUAAACAUUAUGGCAGGCGUACCACCCGCUCCCAUUUACAAGCCGACAAUAAACACAAAUAUUCCGGCAAGGGAACAAAAGCAACAUAAUAAUCUUCCCGAUAAGGGAACAAUGAUAUUUCUAUAAUAUUCCGGCAAGGGAACUGUUAGAAUAUGUAAUAGUAGAACCCUAAUCCAAUGUGUAUUAGGAGUAGCCUAAUCCNNNNNNNNNNNNNNNNNNNNNNNNNNNNNNNNNNNNNNNNNNNNNNNNNNNNNNNNNNNNNNNNNNNNNNNNNNNNNNNNNNNNNNNNNNNNNNNNNNNNNNNNNNNNNNNNNNNNNNNNNNNNNNNNNNNNNNNNNNNNNNNNNNNNNNNNNNNNNNNNNNNNNNNNNNNNNNNNNNNNNNNNNNNNNNNNNNNNNNNNNNNNNNNNNNNNNNNNNNNNNNNNNNNNNNNNNNNNNNNNNNNNNNNNNNNNNNNNNNNNNNNNNNNNNNNNNNNNNNNNNNNNNNNNNNNNNNNNNNNNNNNNNNNNNNNNNNNNNNNNNNNNNNNNNNNNNNNNNNNNNNNNNNNNNNNNNNNNNNNNNNNNNNNNNNNNNNNNNNNNNNNNNNNNNNNNNNNNNNNNNNNNNNNNNNNNNNNNNNNNNNNNNNNNNNNNNNNNNNNNNNNNNNNNNNNNNGCAAAAACCAACACCACCACAAGGUUCCCAAGAGAGAUCCGACCAAACCCCAGCAAACUCCGCUGGAAAACUGCCCUUCACGCGCCAGAUUUAUCAAGGUAGAUCCGACUUACGCGCCCCACGCGCCGGCGCGUGAGCACUGUUCCGGUGAGAUUUUGAAGAAGGUCCUUCAGGGCAGUUAGAUCGCCCUCAAAUCCGAGCCUACCCAUAUUUUUACUUUUCAAUUCCGACCACUUUGAAGUUUUUCCUGCAUCUACAGUGAUUUUUUCCGGCAUCUAUAGUAAUUUUCCAGCAAAAACAGUAUUUCCUUCAUCUGUUUCAGCAAGCUUUCAACUAUGUCUUUGGGACUCGAUGCUUUCGGGUCUAGAAACCCGGGUUCGAUGUUAACUACACCAAGUCUAUUGACUUAAGUGGAGAAGGGUAGAGGGGUAGGCCCAUUAUCCCUGAGUUUCAAAGUUGAAACAGCUGAUUUCUUGGUAAUUCGAAAAAGAAAGAAAUUAAAGUCGUGCUAUUUGUUAGAAUAUGUAAUAGUAGAACCCUAAUCCAAUGUGUAUUAGGAGUAGCCUAAUCCAAUGUUUAUUAGGAGUAGGAUAGAUUAUGUGUGUAUAUAUAGGUCUCAUUGUAUCAUGUUUAAUCUCAGUUAUAUUUUUCUCCCGUGUUUUCUCACAGGAACAAUACUAUCAAACAAACAUCCCGGUAUGGGAACAAUGAUGAUAAUAGCAUAUGAGGUGCAAUAAACCAUAACAAAGUCAUAGCAAUUACAAAAGAAGACUCGCGGACAUACUUGACACCGAUGUAUAGAUACUCAUCACCAUACCUAUACGCCGUACUCCACAAUUUGCACGUAGCAAAUAGACAUGACUCCUAGUCCCUCAAGCUAAGGUUAGACCAAACACAAGCCUCGAACUUUCAUGGCCAACUCAAUCCUCAAAUAGCUCCAAAUCAAUUGUAUAUAUAAAUAAUCAGCUUAAUAACAUCAAUAAAUGCUAAACAACCCAAUUCCAAUGCUUAAUUAUAGCUUUCUAAUCAUUCUUCCCAAAAAAGUCAAAAAUUAACCCCGGACUCGCUUUGUUGAAACACGAGGGUCGGACCAAAACCUGAUCACCCAUUCACCCACGAGCCCGAAUAUAUAAUUUAUUUUUAAAUCCAACCCCGAAACGAGGUCAAAAUCCCAAAUAAUCAAAAAGCCCUAACUUUACUCAAGUCCCUAAUUUUCUAUCCUUAGUUUCAUAUUUUAGGCCUAGAAAUCUAGUGGAUGUUGAUAAAAAUAGAAGAAAAUAAGUAAAAAAUUAUGUACCCAAGAGGUUAUGGUGAAGGAGUUCUUUAAAAAUUGUCCAAGAGGUGUGGAGAAGAUGAAGGUUGUGAAAAAUAAUGAAAAUUCCGUAAUGUGUUUUGUUUUUGAAACUUAAAAUAACUGGACAAAAUUGGUCUUCGUGUUUGCGACAGGCCCAUCGCGUUAGCAAUGAGUCGGGCCUGGGAGACCUUCACGUUCACGUAAGUGGGCUCACUUUCGUGGAGCACAAACUCCUUGAGCCAUCGUGUUCGCGUCCAGGUGGUCGCGUUCGCGUAGGCAUAAUAUCCCCCCCCCCCCCNNNNNNNNNNNNNNNNNNNNNNNNNNNNNNNNNNNNNNNNNNNNNNNNNNNNNNNNNNNNNNNNNNNNNNNNNNNNNNNNNNNNNNNNNNNNNNNNNNNNNNNNNNNNNNNNNNNNNNNNNNNNNNNNNNNNNNNNNNNNNNNNNNNNNNNNNNNNNNNNNNNNNNNNNNNNNNNNNNNNNNNNNNNNNNNNNNNNNNNNNNNNNNNNNNNNNNNNNNNNNNNNNNNNNNNNNNNNNNNNNNNNNNNNNNNNNNNNNNNNNNNNNNNNNNNNNNNNNNNNNNNNUAACCAGGCCACAAGCCUUCGCGUUCGCAUUACCAGGACCGCGUUCGCAAAGGAUAGACCCCCCAAAGCUUCGCGUUAGUGACCUGGUCUUGUGUUCGCGUAGAAGGAAUUUUCGUUCAGCACAAUUAACUCUUCGCGUUCGCGAGGGUCCUCCCGCAAACGCGGCGAAAAAAAAAACUACAAUACCAACAAUUGAAGACCUGCAACUUUUUAAGAGUUUAAAACCUUCUGAAACUUACUUGAGUCCUCGUGGCUCCAAACCAAACAUACGUACUAACUCAAAAAUACCAUAUGAACUUAUCUGUGCGAUCAAAUCGCCAAAUUAAUAUCACUAACGUCGAAUUAAACCUCAAAAUCAAUGAAUUGUUUCAAACUUCUUAAAACAUCAAAUUUUGCAAUGAAGGCUCGAAUCACGUCAAACGGAUUUCGUUUUUUACCAAACUUCAGAGAAUUAUUUUAAGCCACAUAUAAGACCUAUACUGGAUUCCGAAACCAAAAUACGGGCCUGAUAUCAGCAUGUUCUAAUCAAAAUUCAUUUCCAAAUCCUUUAAACAAAUUCAGAAAAUAUUUUUCUUUAAAAAUUAAUUUCUCGGGCUUGGGACCUCGAAAUUCGAUUCCGAGCAUACACCCGAGUCCUAUAUUUUUCUACGGAUCCUCCGAGAUCGUCACAUCACGGGUCUGGGUUGCUUAUCCAAAAUAUUGACCGAAGACAAAUUAAUUCAUUUUUAUAGUCAAAAUUUAUCAUUUUUUACGGAUUUUCUCAUUUUAGUUUUUCGGCUACACGCUCAAACUGCCUUCGCAAAUUAAUAUGAUGCUAAAAGAGAUUUUUAUGACCUCCGAAUAUAAAAUUUAAUUUAAAAGCAAGUGAUGACCCAAAGGUCAUCACAAAAAUAGCCAAUUUCUUUCGGUUAUUUUAAUUCAUGUCAACUUCUCCUAUAUAAUUCAUGCAUCAUUUGCUAUGUUUAGAAAAAAUAAGAAUCGGAUGCUAACAGAAAACUAGAAAUAUGGAACCAAUACACCUCUUUUGCAAGCUCAUAUUCCACUAUUGUUAAUUCUAGCACUAGUAUUGAACUGUGAAGUAGGUGAAAGAGUGAUUUAUUAUGGACAAAAUAGUCAUGAAGGGACAUAUGCUUGCUCUAUCGUAUUUUAUUUGUUGCUCUACGAUUAUAUGGCAAUUCAUAAAAUGCUUCUCAGUUGUUUUCAAACUUUUUGAGCUGAAUGUUACUUUUUGCUUUUGCUUUAACAUAGGUUUGAUAUCUGAUUUGUUGAAAUUAAUAUGGGACCAGGCCAAGCAGUUGCAUAUCAAGAGUACUAGAAAAUUAUUAGUUAAAAAGACAGCCAUCCUGGAGCAAGGGAUCUCUAACUCUGGAAUUUCUUUGCUCAUUUUAAAUAGUGAACCUCAAAUUAUAUAAUUAAUAUAGUAUAUGUUCUACAUUUUCUAAAACAGUAGCUCUUCUUGACUCAAAAUCAUUUUAUAUAUUCUCUCUUUUUGUUGAUCAAGAAGUAUUUAAAUGUUAUUGCUAAUAAGAAAGAGUCUUCUAUGAUCAGUUUAAGCAACUACUUAAUGCUGAACUCAAGAAAAUUAUCAGCAACUACGUACUCUUCAGGAAAGAACAAAUAUCUCUUUCAAGUGCUCUGAUGGUGAACUUUCAAAUAACUCUUUCUAUUGAGUGUGUUCGAAGUGGAAUAAAAUACAUAUGCUAGACUAUCCAAAACUUUUGUUUUUCAAUUUAGUUAGCGACACCUAAUUUUAUUAUUUAGUGUCGGACAUCAUCUAAAUAAUUAAUAAAUAUCCCUAAUUUUGUUCUUGGUCAUAAUUGAAUCGUUCACGCUUUGCAGUAUAUACGUGUGAUUCUGUGAGGGAUAGAAUUGACAGAUACUAGAUGGACUCUAUAGUUUUGCAGUAGGUAUUGGAUGUCAUCUCAUUAACGCAUUACUAUUUCUUGCUUGACAGAUUAGCUUUGGUAAUAUUAUCAAUAAAGCAGCUCCCUCGGCUAUCCAUCCAUGAAAAUAUGUCCUUUGAGGCACAAGACUUGAUUGACAGGUUAGUUAAUACCAUUUUAAAUACUAUAUAUAUGAUCCAUCCUCUUAGAAUAAAUUCCACUAGUAAUUUUGCGUUUUAUAAAAGGAUUAUAAAAUAAUCAUGUCCAAAUUACUUUGUAAGAUUUUUUCCUAGACAAGUUUCGUGGUAGUAAUCAUUUGGAGUAUGUUUGGUGUGGAUCCAUACCGUCAUAAUAUAAUUUGAGGGACUACUCUCUUUUCUCUGGGCUUAAUUUAGUAGUAUGUUAAAGUUCAUUGAUAUUCAAAUAUAAUGGUUGUGUUUACUACACAUAUUCAUAUGGUUGUGUUUGCAAACAUAUGUAUAUUAACUCUUGAAUUUAUCAAAUAAUAUUCUCUUUUUUGCUUUAUACUCUAUGAAUAGUACUAUUUGGAUAAUUUGAUUUGUGACUUUGUUAUUUAAUAGUUUCUUCAGUGAUUUGUAUCAAAAUCAGUGUAAUACUUUAUUAUACAUGUAAUAACAGACCGCUAGACUGUUGCAAUAGCUAAAACAUCCGUUGCAAUAGCUAAAACAUCCGUUGCAAUAGCUACUAAUAAUUAUUGUGAUACAAUAAAAAGCGUUACAAUCUCCUCAAUAGCGGUUGCAAUAAUGAUAUUUGCAACGGUUUUGGACCGUUCCAUUUGCUAAGAUAAGCAUUGCAAUAAAUAGGUUUAUGGCAACGGUUCCAAACAGUGGGCUAUACAUACACCAAUUGCGACGUCAUUUCAAAUGUUGAAAGAAACCAUUGACGUAGACUAUUGGCCGCGACCUAAUGUAACAAGCACUUAACCGUUAUAGUAGAGCUAUUGCAACGGUUUUGAUACGUAUUGCAACGUAAUUCGAACCGUUGCAAUAGAACUAUUCUCUAGUAGUGACAUCUACCCACCCCAUUACUAAAGAUCCCGAAGUGUCUAUUUAUAAAUUAUUAUAAGCUAACAAAUGAAUUACGUAAAUGAAAUAGAAAAUCAAGAAACUAUUCUAUAGGGAGCCUAUAAUUAGGCCCAAGUUUUCCAAAGCCUCCAAUGGUCUCAUAAGCCUCAAUUCCAUAGAAAAAUCAGAGUCUAGGUGCAUCAAAGUUCUAUAAGGGCCUCAAGAAUCUCGGAAAAUGCUUACACCAAGACUUAGCAACCAAGGAUUGAACCAGUAGAGUGUGGCAAGGCCAGCCUCAGUGUGCUAGAGUUCAGAGGGCUCUCAAGAGUAUCCCAAGGCAGUACACAUAUUAGAGGGGGCAUGACUUAUUGACAAAGAGUAAAGUGAAAAUGCAUGACACAAGUUAAAAAAGGGUUAUUAAAGACUAUAUUGAAAAGUCUAUUUUGAAAGCAAUUUGUAAAGCAACAAAGAUUGUUUGAAAAGAGGUUGGAGUAGUAAACAAGCUUAGACACCUUAAGAAAAGAUCACAUACAGAUACUUUACAGAAUUCAGUAGUCAUAGAGGGGUCAAGGGAUUGGGUAUAUAUAGACAUUUUGGCUGCACAACCCAGCAAAGAUCUUAAGACUGGUUUGGACAUGCUGAGAGAUAGUUGACUCUGGAUAAUCACACAACACUAAGGAGAAAUACAAGCGCGUAGAAGGGUGAUAAGGAUUUAGGGAUUCAUGGGAUGGUAAGAACACAAGAAAUAAAAGGCAAUUGACAAAGCAUGAUUUGAAACACACAUAAGGGGAUACAUUAAUCUAAAGGGAAAUGGAGACAUAAUAACAUGCUGAUAAGGCAACUUAACUACAAGUUCAACAAUAGAACCAUAAGUAGAAGCAAACUAGGAAGAAAAGAAACUGAAACUAUAAGAGAAACAUAUUAUUGUUGGAGCUUUAAAUACAAACUAGGACAUACUAGUGAAGGUAGAAGUAAGUAGAAUAAAAGAACCAAAGAGCAUAGAUGAUUAGUCUUGGCUUCCAGCCGGCUAACAGUAGCAAGUAACACACGAUAGAAUGAGAGCAGAGGUUUUUUGUAAGAGAGGUAGUUUUAAGGACUAGUUUACGUGUUAAUGAAAGACUUACAGUAUUUACAGUUGGAAGUAGGUAGUGAAAUAAGGUAAAAAUCUUAGUAGUAUACUCAUUUAAGAACUCAGGAUCAACCAAUUAGAGUAUCAAGAAAGUACUCCCUUAAGUUAAGGGAAUCAAAUCAAACGGGGAGAUUCAAUAUCAUAUAAUGUAAGAAAAUAAUCAGUGCAUGACUAAAUAAGGAAGGAUUCAAAGUUCAAUAUGUAUAUAGUAUUUGAUCAGGACUAAAUUAAUAAAGCCUUAAUUAAGGACACAACCCAGUAGAAAUAAGUAUCAUAGCAAAUAUGGAAAGGAAAUCAGUCAGCUUAAACAGACGAGGUAAAGCUUGUAAGGCUUUAAAAGAAAAUAUUUCGAUCACCAUCAAUUAAGAAAAUAAGAAUCAAUCAAGUGGGAGUCAUGAUUCUGUAUGUUCAAAAUAUAAAUAGAGCAGCUCAAAAGACAUAGCAAAGAUCAAGGCUAGCCAUAUUGACAACAAGAAGCAAAAGAUAAACAAACAAAGUGGGCAUAGUCACACAGAAGUGACAUAAGUAGGCUAGGAAUUUAGUAAACAUAUUCGAAGCCUGAUUACCACGAGUGAUCAACAAGAAUCAAAUAAACAGGCUAACUUACUGAACCAAGGCAAAGAGAAUCAUGCUGACACACAAAGCAAAGAAAACCAUGCUAACUCAAAGAAUCAAAGCAAGGUAAAUCAUGCUAAGUCACAGAACCAUGGCAAAGAAAAUUAUGCUAACACAUAGAACCAAAGAAAAGAAGUUUUAAAAAUUAGGGGUUUAACAGAGUCGAGUCAAAACAUAGUAAGAGCAUAAAAUUGGUCAAAACUAAACAAGGAAAAAGGUUUAAUCCUAAGGAAAUCGAUUAAAACAAGCGUAGAAGAAUCUCCGAAACCCUAGUUUUUCAAGAAAGUAAAGACGGUUUAAAGUGGAGGAUCUUUUAGAAGAAGCUCAAGAAUAAGCAAAUCAUAGAAGGAAACAGGCUUAAAGUGUAAAAAAUAACACAGAUCUGAGAGAUUCAAAAAAGAGUUAGGACUUCAAAGGGAAUCCCAAAUAGAAAUUGAAAGAACAUGUUGUAGACUUCUUUGAUCGUAACAUAUAAAGUGUGAUUUUGCCCAAAAUUACACUGGAGAAGCCACAAAUAAUAGAAACAGAAAUCCUAGCUUCAAAUCGGCAUGGCCCAGGAUCCUUGAAGAACUUAGAGAUGAUGAACAAGGCGAUGAGAGACUCAUUGGAGGCUUGGGUUGAAAGGAUGGUCACCGGAGAUGACUGUAGAAGGAGGGGUUUGACGGAGUCUAGGGUUAGGUUUGGAAGAAAAGAGAAGAUGAGAGCAUCUACGGGCAUGGGAUUUGGAAAGUGAGUGGGGUUAGGGGUCGUUUGGAAAUUAAAAAGGAAAGGAGAAAUGAGGGUCGUUGAUCUAAAAGAUCAACGGCCAGGAUUUAAAAUAGCUUGGGUCGGGUUGUGGAUAAUUGGAUCUGGGUCGGGGUAUGAAGUAUAAAAUUGGGCUGGGAUUGAGGUUCGAUUUGGCUGUAAUUUAAAGCCAAAUUUGGUUGUUAUUUAAAUAGCCAGCUUUUCCCUAUUUUAAUUUUAAUAAAUAAUAAGUAAUUUCUGGAAAAUAAUUCAAGGUGCCAAAAUGAUUUAAAAUAUAUAAUUAACAUUUUAAAAAUACAGGGGUCAAUUGUACACAUAUAAAAUAUAAUUAUAUCUUAAAAGGGGCUAAUAACGUAAUUACAUGCAAUUUAGCUAAAAAUACUAAAUGUAAUGGUAAGAAUACAUAAAAAUCACAUUAGACAUAUUUUGUCAUAAGUAUACAAAUUAAAUAAAUAAAUUAUCAAAACAAUAAUUUUGGAAAUAGUUAUUGGGAAUUUUACGGGUAAAAAGGGAGAAAAUAAGUCAACUUAAACCCUUAAAAUUAUUGGGGCGAAAAUAACAAAAGUCUUGUGUAUGCUUGUAUAUGCAUACAUAUGCUAUUUUGAAGGUAUUUAUGCAUAUUUAAAAUAUAUAGGAAAAUAUUGGUUAUCAACAGUUGCCCGUCUUUACCCGGAAAGGAUGAAAGAGAUUUCUGGUAAAGAAAUAAUGGUCCAUUUUGACCGAAUGCGAUGCUUCAGAAGACGGAGGCCGAACUUCGGUUUUUGAGUUGCCUAUAUAUCUAUGAUUUUUCAGGAAUCAGUCCAUGUGUAGUUCUGGACUCAGCUACAGAUUAUGCCAAUAAAAUUAUUGUGAGGAUGGACGCGAGAUGCAGAAGUGGUUACGGUGAACAAUUAAGGUUCGGGAAGGUUGAAGGGCACUGGAGCGAGACUGCUCCUGCUAGGAUAGUAGUUGUCUGCUAAUUACCUGCAAAUAAAAGAUGCUACAAUGUAUUUGUUAAAAUUUAAACAUGAUGCAGAUUCCAUUUGGACCAUGAAGGUUGUCUUCGAACGGUUAAAGAUGACAUCCAGAGCUAUGAAUUGUUUAAUAAGGGAUGUGUACUCCAUGAAAUGGUGUUUUAAGGGCCAUGAAAAUGGUGCCUCCGAACCAUGACUCAUUUGAAUAAUGAUGUGCAAACUCAAGAGAUCCUUAGGACAUGGCAUGGUGCCUUUCGACUAUGAGGAUGGUGCCUUUAGACUGACGCUUUUGGAACGAUUGGCGAUAUUUCAACCCAUGAGAUACAACAAUAUGAUGUAACUAAACAAGGCUUAGUGUUGUGAAAUGAAGGGCAAAGCUUAGCCCGAUCGAGAAGCAAGUAGAUGGCAGUAAAAAAUAGAGCAGCAUUGGUGUAAAGAGGGACAAUGUUUAGUCACGUGCAAGUGGGGAGGCGAGGAUUAUCAUGAUACAAAUGUGGAGGCAAUGAUUAGCCUCAUGCACAUAUGGAGUCAGGGCUUAGAAUCAUGCGAAUAGAAGGCAAAUAUGGAGGUAGAGCUUAACCUCAUGCAAGAUGCAGGACAGGGCUUAAUCCCAUGCAAAUAUGGAGUCAAGGCUUAGACUCAUGCAAAUGCAGAGUCAAGGCUUAGACUCAUAAAAGUAUGGAGACAGAGCUUAGUCUUAUGAAAAUAUGGAGACAAAGCUUAGUCUUAUGCAAAUAUUGAGACAAUGCUUAGUCUCAUGCAAAUAUGGAGUCAAGGACUAGACUUAUGCAAAUAUUGAGUCAAGGAUUAGACUUAUGCAAAUAUGGAGUCAAGGAUUAAACUCAUGCAAGUAUGGUGACAGAGCUCAGUAUCAUUUAAAUAAGGAGUCAAGGUUUAGACUCAUACAAAUGUGGAGUCAAGGAUUAGACUCAUGCAAAGAGAAAAUAACAAAUAAGGAUGGAGUAUGUAUCUUAGCUAGGACAUUUUUGUGUCUAAUGGCCGGAUGGAUGGUCAAUUUGCUUUGUGUACGAAUACUAUCAUCAAAUGUGCUUGCGUUCAAAGAAAAAUCAUAAUUUUCAUGGGGGAGGUUGGUUCCUGCUUCGCCUGACAGCCUUGCUUUGCUCCGUUCUGGAAGCCCCCUUCAAAUUCCCCUAGGUAGCACCUGGCUGUUAUAAAAAUAUAAUUUUUGAAUGAGAUGCAUUCAUUGAUAAAAAUAGAAUUGUUUUGGAAGUGUAUUGAUAUAUAAAGUAACUUUGAUGAACUAGCGACUGUGACACAUUUCAAAGGCAUUGUAGAUCUCUUAUGUUGGAAUUUUGAGGGUCCUCCUCAAUAUUCUACCCCAGUUUGGUAGAUGGUCUCUAACCGUUUGCGGAUGGUGGACCUUGCUCAAUCUUCCUCGGAAUUUCGAGAAUCUUUCUCAAAAUUCUGCCCUAGUUCUUGACUAAUGACUGACUUCCUGUGAUGUGAUAGUGUUGGCUGGACUUGUCCCGGAAUUUUGAGGACCUUCCUCAAAAUUCUGUCCCAGUUUUCGAUUUUGGGGGGGAAAUGAAAAAUUUUAUUAUGAUAUGACCGAACCCAUAAGGCUGCCUUCGUAUCCCCUCUUAAACAAAAAUUAGGUCAAGCGUAGUUCAAUUACAUCAGAAAAGAAAUGGGAAAUAAUCUAGGAAUAGUAUCUCUUGACUGCAUUUGAAUUGAUUGGUUUUGGCCAGAUUUCUCCAUCCAUUUCUGCAAGUAUGAGUGCUCCUUCUAUUAGGAUCCUGUGAAACAUGUAUGGACCUUGCCAGUUAGGAGAGAAUUUCCCUUUCCCUUCAUCUUGGUGCGGGAAGAUUUUCUUUAAUACCAACUGCCCUAGUGCGAACUGCCUUUGUUUGACCCUUUUGUUGAAAGCUUUGGACAUUCUGUGUUGAUAGAGUUGGAUGUGGCAUACUGUGUUCAUUCUCUUUUCAUCGAUAAGGGAUAAUUGCUCAUAGCGGUUCCUUAUCCAUCUGCAUCGCUGAGUUCAGCUUCCUGUGUGACUCUUAAGGAAGGAAUCUCUACCUCGGUUGGGAUGACUACCUCGGUACUAUAAACCACCAUGUAGGGAGUUGCCCUGACGUGCAAACUGUGGUGCGUUACCCUAACAGAGAAAAGGGUAACUUCUCAUGCCACUGCUUGUGAUUCUAUACCAUUUUCCAUAUAUUUUCUUAAUGUUUUUGUUUGGCGGCUUCUACAGCUCCAUUCAUCUAAGGUCUAUAGACGGUGGAAUUCUUGUGCUUGAUUUUGAAUGUUUCACAUAUAGCUUUCAUCAGGUCACUGUUGAGGUUGGCGGAAUUGUCAGUAAUAAUGGACUCCGGAACACUGAAUCGGCAGACAAUGCGAUCCUCGACAUAAUCUAUGACGACUUUCUUGGUUACAGCUUAGUAAUAUGCAUCUUCUACCCAUUUUGUAAAGUAAUCAAUGGCGACCAGAAUAAACCUCUGUCCAUUCUAAGAAGUUGCUCAAUUGGACCAAUAACAUCAAUUCCCCAAGUGGUGAAUGAUUAAGGUGAACUUACUGUAUUGAGCUUGUUUGGCAGCAUCUUUAUCAUGUUGGCAUGCACUUGACAUUGAAAUCAUUUGCGGACAUACUAAAUACAAAUGUUUACAUGGUCAUCCAAAAGUAACCUUCCAUGCGUAUCUUCUUGGCCAGAACAAAAUCAUUCAUCUGCGACCACAUAUCCUAGCAUCAACAUUCUCAAGUGGCUUAGAAGCUUCCUUUACGUCGACACACCUUAGCAAACCUAAAUAUGGAGUUCUUCUGUACAAGUUCCCUCGUCGUGGAAGAAGUGAUUUGACAAUCUCCAGAGCGUGCGUUUCUGAAUGUGAUUUGCGUGCUCUGGGUAUUCUCCAUCUGAUAAGUUCUCCUUGGUGUCAUGGAACUAAGGUUUUCCAUCUGCUUCUUCAUCGACAUGAGCACAAUAUAAUGGCUGAUAAUGGAUCCUCAUCGGAGUGGGAUCAAUACAUUUCUUAUCUAGGUGUUGUACCAUUGAUGACAAAGUGGCUAAUGCGUCGUCAAACUCAUUCUGAAUUAUGGGCACAUGUCGAAAUUCUAUCUUCAUGAACCUCCUUUUCGAUUCCUGCACAUGGUGCAGAUAUGUCAAUAUCUUGAAAUUUUUGGUAGCCCAUUCUCCUUGUACCUGGUUCACAAGCAAAUCUGAAUCACCGAUCACCAACAACUCCUGAAUGUUCAUGUCGACUGCCAUGUUGAGCCCUAGUAUGCAAGAUUCAUAUUCUGCUAUGUUGUUUGUCAAGGGAAAUCUGAGUUUAGAAGAUAUGGGAUAAUGUUGACCUAUUUCUAAUACAAAAAGUGCUACAAUGCCUACUCCUUUGAAAUUCGUGGCUCCGUCAAAGAACAUCCUCCAACCGUCAUAGGCUUCAGUAAUAUCUUCUCCUAUGAAUGAUACUUUUUCAUCAGGAAAAUACAUUUUCAAAGGUUCGUAUUCUCCUUCCACUAGAUUUUCAGCAAGGUGAUCUGCCAAUGCCUAUCCCUUUACUGCCUUAAGAGAUACAUAGACGAUGUCGAACUCACUCAGUAGUAUUUUCCAUUUAGCCAACUUCCCCUUAGGCAUGGACUUUGAAAUUUAUACUUCAGAGGAUCCAUCCUAGAUAUGAGGUACGUAGUGUUGGCACAGAAAUAAUGCAUGAACUUCUGGGUUGUCCAGGUUAAAGCAAAACUGGUUCAUUCAAGAAGAGAAUACCGUGCUUUAUAAGGUGUGAAUUUCUUACUUGAAUAAAAUAUGGCUUUCUCCUUCCUUCCUAUCUCGUCAUGUUGUCCUAAAACACAUCCGAAGGCUCCAUCUAAUACAUAUUGGUAGAGUAUCAAAGGUUGCCCCGAUUCUGGCAGGACCAACACUAAAGGUGUGGAUAGGUAUUCCUUAAUUUUGUCAAAAACUUUCUAACAAUCCUCGGUCCAACUCGUCUCAGCAUCCUUCCUCAGCAUCUUGAAGAUGGGUUCACAUAUUAUGGUGGAUUGUGCUAUGAAUUGAUUGAUGUACUUGAGUCGUCCCAAGAAGCUCAUUACGUCCUUUUUUCUUUUGGCCGAUGGUAACUCCUAAAUAGCUUUGACUUUAGUCGGAUCUAGCUCGAUCCCUCGGCGACUGACAAUGAAUCCCAGUAAAUUUCCUGCAGGAACCUCGAAUGCACAAUUUGCGAGGUUCAACUUCAAAUUGUACCUCUCUAAGCCUAUCGAAGAAUUCCCUCCUUGAUCUUUAAUCUUCUUGGUAACUUCCUCCUUGAUCUUUAGACUCAUGCCUGGUUUGAAUUUUUUGAGUUUCUGCUUGACUGGUGGGCACAUAGGAUUGGUAGACAACCUGUGAGCUACUAUAGAUGUGCUCAAACUGGUCAUAUCCACAUAUGACAAUGCAAAAAUAUCCUCAUAUUCCAUUAGAAAAUGGGUUUAUUCUUACUUCUUUGAUGGCGACAAAUGAUAUUGAUGCGGGUCUCUCUGACGGUCUCGGUGUCUCCCAAAUUUACUGCUUCUAUUUCAUCCAGGUUGGACUUAGGCUUGUUCUCAAAAUUCUCAACUUCCCUGACAAUUUCCUUGGGUAUCUCAUCUUCUUCCUCUGAGUCACUAUUCUCAUAUUGCGUUGCCUCAUUACAUGUCACAGUCACGAGUUCAUCAGGAAAAUAAUAAUGACACUGUAGAUGAUGAAAGUAAUAAAAUAGUAAUGAACAUUGAUAAAUGAUAGAUACGCUUGAAUAAAAUUGAGAAAAUGUUUCAAACAAAUGCUUGGCUCGGUGGAUCGGGCAUUUAUUUAAAACAAAAGAAAUCUUAAAACCGAAUUGCUGGAAAAUUUAAAUGCCUAGAACAACUAUAAAUUCUAGCUACCCUGGGACUCGGGGGCUCAUGAUGGUAUGGCGGUCAAGUUUUCGAGAAUAGGUCCCUUUGCCACAGUCUGAAUGGUGAGGCCUUCUUCCUUCUCCUCUUCAAUCAUGGCACUGCAAUCCAUAUCCUUAUCUUCCAAGAACAAAUCCUUCAGUCCAGUUAGUGCUUCUUUUUCAAUAGCUCCCCAUAUUAUGUCUGCCCGAUUGAAAGCUUAUUCGAAACAGAGUACCCCGCUGCUCAAGAGGGUAAUAUGGUCCGCACUAUGGAGGCGACCAAUUCCUGUAUUCUUGCCACGUGUACUGGUAUCCGAUUCCAAAGUUAGUACUAUAUGCUUUAGCUAUAUUGAUUUUGUGAUGCCUUGGAAGUUCUUUUCCAAUCCUUUGUCGGGUUCAGAUCCGAACCAUGAUAAUAUGCUUUCUAUCUUGUUACUCCACUAUUUUUCUUUUUAGAUGGCAUUGACACGUUCAAUUUGAUGGUAGGUCUCCCCUCCUAGCCUUCUUUAAUGUCCAAUGGCCGGAAUGGUUUGACUGGUGUAGAUGGGGUUACUCUUGUCUCCAUGAAUGAUUACCUCCUAACGGUUCCAUUUGAAUUUUAUAGCUUGAUGUAGUGUGGAAGGCACAGCUACAGCAACAUGGAUCCAUGGGCCGCCCAACAAAGAUAAUAUGAGGCUGGUAUGUCAAGCACUUGGAACUCAAUGUUGAAACAAGUUGGUCCCAUUUGCAAACAAAGAUUGAUUUCCCCGAUUGUGGCCCUCGAGGACCAAUCAAAAGCCUUCACAUUCAUGCUUUUGGCUCGUAUUUCAUGGAAACCUUUGUCCAACAUUUUUAGGUUGUCCAGUGGAUAAAUAUUCAGACUAGAACCUCCAUCAACAAGACCCUGGAAAUGAACUUGUCUUCAAGCUAUACCAUAAUAUGUAAUGCUCGAUUGUGAUUUCAUCCUCGGGCGGUAGCUCAUCCUCGUGGAAGAUGAUGUUAUGGCUUUCUAGUACUUGACCGACCAUGUUGGAAAUUUCUCCACCAGUUAUAUUAUUGGGUACAUAAGCCUCGCUCAGUACUUUCAUCAAGGCAUUCUUGUGUGACUCAAAACUCUGCAGCAGUGACAGAAUAGAUAUCUGAGUAGGGACUUUGUUCAUGUGGUCAACAACAGAGUACUCUUUUGCCUGUAGUUUUCACCAUAAGUCAUCUGGCCUGGUCUCAAUGAUAGGUUGCCUAGCAGUGGCUUCCUUACUUGAACCUCCUAGGUGUUCAGGUGCAUAGACUCUUCCGGUCCUAGUCAUUCCUUGUGCUAUGUUAGAUUCCUCUACCUUAGCCUUCCAUUUCAAUCGAGCCUCAGCGACAUAAUCCCAAGGUUUUGCUUUUAAGUUGAAUCUGGGUGUGAUGGACACCAUCAUGGUAAAAAUUGUGACCACUUCUACUUCAAAUGGAGUGCGGGUGGCUGCAGGCGGAGCCACUUCUACCUCGAAUGGAUCUGAUGUAGUUACCUCAACCUGGAUCAGUGCCUGAGUCCGAACCACUAUAGGAGUAAGUGUGACUGCAACCUUAGAUUUCUCGCCCUCCCAAAUAAGCAUGAUCGACCCUCAGGGUCCCAUUCUUCAUUUGUUUCUAUUGUAUAUACACCGUCACCUCUACAAUCAAGGAGGGGAUUAUUUUCGUCAUUAGGUGAGGCCUCUUUUGCUUGUAUGACCUUGUUGUCAAUUAAUGUUAUAAUCUUAUCCUUCAAUGUCCGGCACUCAGCUGCGGUGUGUCCCUUCAUGCCGGAAUGGUUCGCACAAGUAUUGUUCAGAUAAACCCACUGGGAUAGGUUUUCUAAUGCCAUAGUGGGAAUAAGAGUGACAUAACCUACGGCUUUUAACCAUUAAUAUAGUUGGUGAAUGGGCUCAGCAAUAGCGGUAUACUGUCUGGGUGGCUUGCAAUCAAAGUUUGUCUGCUGUCUUAGAUAGUUUUGACGAGUUGGUGGUGAUUGGAAAUGGGAUGGUUGGUAGUUAUAUGUGUGAUAGAUAGAGGCUGGUUAAGAGUAUCUGGGGGUAAAGGUUGAUAUGUGGGUGGUGGUUGAUGAUACGUGGGUUGAGGUGUUUGAUAUGUGGGUGGUGGUGUUUGAUAGACAAGUUGGGAUUUUGGAAACCCUGGGCUACCAUUAUUGCACAAUAUCUCUCUUCUUCGAUAUGCCACCUGAAUGUAAUGCUGUAUUUAUGGCUUGUAAAUCCAAAAAAUUGGUUACCAUUCCUCUCUUGAUCACUUCUUCAAUCCUUUGUCUGAGUUUGAUAAUGUUAGAGAACUUGUGAUUUUUGAUAACCAUUAGUCUCUCGUAAUAUUGCAAGUCAUGUGCCCUAGCGAAAAAUUUAUUCAUCUACUAUUCAUCCAAAGCGGGCUUGACCUCGGCGGCUUCCGACCUCCAACGAGUUGCAUAUUCUUGGAAGGUCUUAGUGGGUUUCUUCUUGAGAUUCUAAAUGUAGAAGAUAUCAGGUUCAUUCUCUGUGUUGAACCUGAACCGAUCGAUGAAAUUUGAUGCCAUGCUUACCCAAUUUGACCAUUUCUUGGGAUUUUGGAUGAUAUUCCAAGAUAGCGCAUCCCCGGUAAGGCUACUCAUAAAGAGCUUCAUUCGGAUCUUUUCAUCUUUCCCCACCCCGACAAGUUUGUCAAAAUAAGUUCUGAGAUGAACCCUGGGAUCACCUAUGCCAUCAAACAUUUCAAACUUGGGAGGCCUGUAUCCUUCUGGAAUUUCCACAUCAGGCUGUAUGCACAGAUUCUCAAAGUUUAAACCCUCUAUCGCCUUCAACACCUUGACGUGGGCAUGUUAACUUUCUAAGUUCUUCAACCAUGUUCUUAAUGAGCAUGUCCUUUUUAGUAGUUUCUGGAGUACAUGAAGUUCGUUGGGCAGAUUGUGGUAUAGUUUCCACCAAUACGGGGUAGCUUUGAUGGGUUUCAGGAACUUGGGUAUAGUGGUGGUCAUUGGUGGAGCUUUGUGGAUCAGUAAUGAUUAGUGGUGUACUUUGGGGAGUGUGGUAAGUGGUGACUGGCGGGUAUUGAAUUGGUUGACGUUGUUAUGGUGGAGUUGGCAUCGGCAAUGGGUUGAUAUUUUGUGGUGGAGUGGAUUAGUGAUUUGGUAUGGUAGGAUCUUAUGGUUAUAGAUUUUGUGUAUCUUGAGGAGGUGUUGGGUUCUUUGCAUUCUGUUGGUGGAUAUCAAGGACACUAAGGAUAAGUGACAAAUUUAUAUUUCCGUAAUAUGUGUUUAAACACCGCAAACAUUUUAGAAUCCCCGCUAACUUGAUGAGGUGUUGGUUCUUUGCAUUCUGUUGGUGGAUAUCAGGGACAUUGAGGGUAAGUGACAAAUUAUUAUGGACCUGCUCAAGUUCUCCUUGUAGUUCUAGUAUCAUUUGUUCAAGUCUAAAACCAAGUCAUUUGGGGCCCGGGUACUACGAGAUCUCUGCAUUCUUAAUGUUUCCUUUCACAUUCCACUUAAAUCGUCCAUCUUUGCUUUCCCUCUGCUUUUUGUGUUGCUUCGACAAGGAGGAGGUGGAGGGCCUCUAGAUCUGGUGUGAUAUGCCGAUUGGGCCAGUAUGAUUGAUCCAACCUAAGGGGAUGAGAAUAAUAAUAAAUAACAAAACAAAAAGGUAACAAGUUAGUGGGGAUUCUAAAAUAUUUGCGGUAUUUAAACACAUAUUGUGGAAGUAUAAAUUUGUGUCCUAAUUUGAGAGUCUUAUUGUGCUCGAGGUAAGCCUAUCGACAAAUACAUAUGGAGAACAUUUAAUGCUAAUAAAUGCUUUAUUUCAUAAUAUAAGAAUAGACAAAUCACAAAACGAUAUUGAAAAAUUGAUAAAAAAUGUGUUACUGUUGGCACUUGGCCUUAUUACAUCUUAAGAAAAAGCAAAAAUAAAUCUAGCCUAUUUGGUCCCAGAAGGACCUUCACGGGAUUCGAUUUUCUGAAUUCCCUCAUAGAGAUCUCCCAGCUCGCUCAGCCCUAGCAGCAAGUAGGCUCUGGCCAAGUGUCCUGUUUCAGCUCCAUUAGCAUUCUGACAGUUUUAGAUACUCUUUUAUGACUUUGCCAUCUAUCUCUACUAUUCCUCGCUCCAGGUAUUCUAGUUUCCUAUUAGAAGUGACUGCCAUCGCCUUUUAUUCCUCAAUCAACCUUGUGUUCUUCUCAUGUAUUUCUCGGUGCUCAUUUUUAGAGUCGUGAACCCUUUUGCAUCCUAUUAUACUUGACUUGGGUUUCAACUUCCUCAUCUAUGAUUCUGUUUCCUCGACCAGUCCUUGGCAUUGCUGUUCCUUUCAAAUUAUCCUCUAACCAUGCUGGGAAAAGAGGCACAUACCAUGCGUGAUACAUGUCCGCCUCGACAGUGUUAUUCUCCACGAUGAUCUUGCAGUGCCACAUAUGUUGAGAUUGGCACUUGUAAGGAACAUCGUCGUCUUGAAAGUCUGCCUUGAGUUGUCUCAUCUUGACAACCCUUGGUACAACCUGCUUUCUACCUGCUUGCCUCAUAACUGAUAGAUGGACAUAUGGAUAUACCCUUCUCAACCCAAUCAAUACCAAAUGUGGAGCAUCUAUGGACCUGAUAAUAAACUCGUUUGUUGGAAACAAUCCAACCAUCCAUUGCACUUGUUCAUCGGUCAGGCUGUCAAAGAACUCCACCUACUCACUGGAACUUUUUGGCUGAGCACAUCUAUCUAAAAUUUAGGUCACUUUCUCGGUUAUGGAAAGUAAUGUGGUCGUUCCAAGCCCUUCGUGAAAAUUCUUGAUGAUAACAACCCUUUUGGAGAUGCUCUAAUAACCAUAACUGCAGCAAUAAGUUACAGCCUUCGAAAUGAUUUUCCCCAUUUUGAGAAUGCUCUAAGGCCCUGUAGAUAUUAGCUAUGAUCAUGGGGACUAUGGAAUAGGUCUGUCCAUUAAUCCCCUCUAUCAGAGUGUUGGCAACCAUGGCCAACCUGGUGUGUAUCCCUCACUUUUUCAUCGAGAAUACUAUCCUCCCCAGAAAGCACACGAUGAACACGAACAAUUUGUGGUGGAUGUAACCUAGUGAAGUGUGGGUGAUCUCAUCAUGGUAAAUGCACAAAGACUUGUUGUGGCCUCAUCUUUUAUAUAUAUAUUCGAAAGGUAUGUACGAGUCUUUCAGGCACAUUAGGUCGACAUUCUUUUUCAACCCCGUCAUCUUCAGAAAUCCCUUGCCUGUAUUGUUUUCUGGCACCAAAAGCCCAGGAUUGUCCUAAGUUAACCCUGCAAGUCCUCUUAUUUCCUCUAGAAGCAACGUCAUUUCUAUACCACCGAAAUGGAACACUGCUCUUUCACUAUCCCAGAAUAGAGUAGCAGCCUCAAUCAGUUUGUUGUUUGACUCGAAAUAUAGCAGGGAUGGAAAGUUACCUGGGUAUUCUUUCAUAUGCUUUUUGUCCUUUGAGGAGAGAUCUUCCCACCAAUCUAGCAACAAUGGAGGGGAUAUUACUAACCAUACUGAAUCUGGAGACCUCGUACCUUAUUUCCUACAUAACAAAAGGGUUAGGCCUUACCCCUACCAAACUCGACUAUUUAUACAUUUAUGAUCAACAUAUCACUGCAUUAAGAAGUCAAGAAAUAAUGUUUUCUAGAAAAGUGUGAUUCUGCAGUUGACAAUGCGGUCCAAAUUUCAGGUGGACCGCAUAGUCGUUGCAAAGUGAGUUAGUGUGUUGGCAAAUUUAAAGUCAACAAUGCGGUCAGUAAUGCGAGCAUAUAACUAAUAUGCGGACCGCGUAGUCAUCACUUAAUUUUCUUGAGAUUUUGUGAAGGCCAGUUCUGUGGUACAUUCUGCGACCAUAGAAUAUGAAUGCAAACUGCAUUUCUGCCGCAAACUCAGUUAGUGUGUCCAGUUUUUGGGAAGCAUUUUGCGGUCCAUUCUGCGUACCGCAUGUUGACUUUGCGAUCACAAAUGGGAUCGCAGAUCUAACUCGGGACUCCAAUUUCGUAAAUUUUAAACCCGUAUCGUUAUAUUCGGUGUGAAUAGCUUAUUUUGAGCAUAUUUCCCGAUGCUUCCACAGUAAGAGAGAGGGGUAUAAGAUAGGGAAAGUGCUUCUCUUCAAAAUUACUCCAAUAACAUGCUAAAACAUUUAAGGUAAUAAAGUGAAGGGACCUAAAUCUUCAUCCCAAAAGGUAAGAAUUCAUCACCUCAGCUCUUAUUUUUAUACUUAGCUAUAAGGCGUCAUUAGUGAGGUAAUUCAUAGGUAGAAGAAUGGAUUUCUUGCAUGUAUAUCAAACCAUGGAGUAUUGGGAGGUAUUGAACAAACAAGAAAACUAUUGGGGUAUAGAAUGAUAGAAAUUUCUCUCAAAAAGGACCUAAGAUCACAAUGCGCCUACAUUGUUUGAUAAUAUGCUCAAACAAGCUAGAAUCUCAAUCUCGUCACUAAUUCUCAAUUCAAUUUGUUAUUCUUACAAAAUAUAUCAAAGUGCUAAGAGUUUCAAAAUUUUGUAAAGAAUAAGGAGAGCUACAUUGAGGUAUGUAUGGCUAAAACCCCCUUUUAUUAGAAAUUGAGCUCCAUUGGCAUUUUUGCAGGUGUGGUAAGACUAGAAUUGGUUGAUGUAUUGGUUAUUAUUUCACAUUAAUUGAUUUGCAAUUAUAUACAUAUAUGCAUGAAGAUGUGCGUCAAUGUGAGUAAUAUAAUAUUCCUGAUAUUUAGAUAAGUGUGAAGAAUACGAAUCAUGUGUUGAAAUGCUUACGCUAUAAGCAAAGAUUCAAACUGAGAUUGUGAUGCUAACUAUGUGGAAACUUACCUGUGCUUGCACCUUGAAUUGCUUCUUUGUGCCUAUGACCAUAAAAUUGCAAGUUGGAUAUUAAAAAUGGAAUGAUGUGAUAAUUGUGGCCCUAAGUGCCAAUGAAUUGAUAUGAGCUAUGUGAAACUAAGAUUCAAAAGAGAUGAUCAAUGAGAAAGGAAUACUCUAGGUAAGGUGGCCUAGCCAAUCGGGCUGUGAUCGGACACCAUAACGCACAAAUGGUGGUAAUGGGCUAACACUGAAUUUUGGAAAAAAAGGAAAUAAAAUGGUGAUUGAGAUAUAUGCCUCAAAUGACGAUUGGGUCGUGAUCAGACUCCGCUCAAGAUAGCGGUGGUAUUAAGGACAAUGAUGAACAAAUGAAAGAAAUGCCCCAAACCUAGUUAUGGAAAUUAUGUGAAAGAUUAUAUGGUUCGUUUAUUUGAUAAUGUGGUGUCUGGUUAAAACAUUUGAUUUACUCUUGUGAUUUCCUUGUUCAUGUUUAAUAGUUCUUUCUAGUAGAAUGGUGUUUAGUUAAUUUACUCUAGUGAUUUCCUUCUUCAUGUUUGAUAGCUCUUUCUAGUAAAACGCUAUUUAGUUAUACAUACUAGUACUAUUCCAUGGUACUAACGUCCCUUUUUAUGGGAAACUGUAUUUUUAAAUGAAUGUAGGUGGAUCCAUUGUAGAUAGUGCCGAUCGCGUGUAGUAGAUCACCUUUUUCUCGAGUUUGGUGAGACGCUUUCUCCUUCAAGGGGUUGUAUUGUAUAUCUUUUGUUGUUGUGGACUUCAAAUUUUGAGGUAUAGCCAGGGCCUUGUUGUCGGCGUCGUCAUACUUAUAUUUUGUAUCCUUAAAGGC